CCUACGGGUGGCAGCAGUGAGGAAUAUUGGUCAAUGGGCGAGAGCCUGAACCAGCCAAGUAGCGUGAAGGAUGACUGCCCUAUGGGUUGUAAACUUCUUUUAUAUGGGAAUAAAAUGUUCCACGUGUGGGAUUUUGUAUGUACCAUAUGAAUAAGGAUCGGCUAACUCCGUGCCAGCAGCCGCGGUAAUACGGAGGAUCCGAGCGUUAUCCGGAUUUAUUGGGUUUAAAGGGAGCGUAGGUGGAUUGUUAAGUUAGUUGUGAAAGUUUGCGGCUCAACCGUAAAAUUGCAGUUGAGACUGGCAGUCUUGAGUACAGUAGAGGUGGGCGGAAUUCGUGGUGUAGCGGUGAAAUGCUUAGAUAUCACGAAGAACUCCGAUUGCGAAGGCAGCUCACUGGACUGCAACUGACACUGAGGCUCGAAAGUGUGGGUAUCAAACAGGAGUAGAUACCCGAGUAGUC
rnacentral:rRNA from 1 species